rnacentral:rRNA from 1 species
GGGUUGUGAGGUUAAGCGACUAAGCGUACACGGUGGAUGCCCUGGCAGUCAGAGGCGAUGAAGGACGUGCUAAUCUGCGAAAAGCGUCGGUAAGGUGAUAUGAACCGUUACAGCCGGCGAUGUCCGAAUGGGGAAACCCAGUGUGAUUCGUCACACUAUCGUUAACUGAAUACAUAGGUUAACGAGGCGAACCGGGGGAACUGAAACAUCUAAGUACCCCGAGGAAAAGAAAUCAACCGAGAUUCCCCCAGUAGCGGCGAGCGAACGGGGAGCAGCCCAGAGUCUGAAUCAGCUUGUGUGUUAGUGGAACGGUCUGGAAAGUCCGACGGUACAGGGUGAUAGUCCCGUACACCAAAAUGCACAGGCUGUGAACUCGAAGAGUAGGGCGGGACACGUGGUAUCCUGUCUGAAUAUGGGGGGACCAUCCUCCAAGGCUAAAUACUCCUGACUGACCGAUAGUGAACCAGUACCGUGAGGGAAAGGCGAAAAGAACCCCGGCGAGGGGAGUGAAAAAGAACCUGAAACCGUGUACGUACAAGCAGUGGGAGCACCUUCGGGUGUGACUGCGUACCUUUUGUAUAAUGGGUCAGCGACUUAUAUUCUGUAGCAAGGUUAACCGUAUAGGGGAGCCGCAGGGAAACCGAGUCUUAACUGGGCGUUAAGUUGCAGGGUAUAGACCCGAAACCCGGUGAUCUAGCCAUGGGCAGGUUGAAGGUUGGGUAACACUAACUGGAGGACCGAACCGACUAAUGUUGAAAAAUUAGCGGAUGACUUGUGGCUGGGGGUGAAAGGCCAAUCAAACCGGGAGAUAGCUGGUUCUCCCCGAAAGCUAUUUAGGUAGCGCCUCGUGAAUUCAUCUUCGGGGGUAGAGCACUGUUUCGGCUAGGGGGUCAUCCCGACUUACCAACCCGAUGCAAACUACGAAUACCGAAGAAUGUUAUCACGGGAGACACACGGCGGGUGCUAACGUCCGUCGUGAAGAGGGAAACAACCCAGACCGCCAGCUAAGGUCCCAAAGUCAUGGUUAAGUGGGAAACGAUGUGGGAAGGCACAGACAGCCAGGAUGUUGGCUUAGAAGCAGCCAUCAUUUAAAGAAAGCGUAAUAGCUCACUGGUCGAGUCGGCCUGCGCGGAAGAUGUAACGGGGCUAAACCAUGCACCGAAGCUGCGGCAGCGACACUAUGUGUUGUUGGGUAGGGGAGCGUUCUGUAAGCCUGCGAAGGUGACCUGUGAGGGUUGCUGGAGGUAUCAGAAGUGCGAAUGCUGACAUAAGUAACGAUAAAGCGGGUGAAAAGCCCGCUCGCCGGAAGACCAAGGGUUCCUGUCCAACGUUAAUCGGGGCAGGGUGAGUCGACCCCUAAGGCGAGGCCGAAAGGCGUAGUCGAUGGGAAACAGGUUAAUAUUCCUGUACUUGGUGUUACUGCGAAGGGGGGACGGAGAAGGCUAUGUUAGCCGGGCGACGGUUGUCCCGGUUUAAGCAUGUAGGCUGGUUGUCCAGGCAAAUCCGGAUAAUCAAGGCUGAGGUGUGAUGACGAGGCACUACGGUGCUGAAGUAACAAAUGCCCUGCUUCCAGGAAAAGCCUCUAAGCAUCAGGUAACAUUAAAUCGUACCCCAAACCGACACAGGUGGUCAGGUAGAGAAUACCAAGGCGCUUGAGAGAACUCGGGUGAAGGAACUAGGCAAAAUGGUGCCGUAACUUCGGGAGAAGGCACGCUGGUGUGUAGGUGAAGUCCCUGCGGAUGGAGCUGAGACCAGUCGAAGAUACCAGCUGGCUGCAACUGUUUAUUAAAAACACAGCACUGUGCAAACACGAAAGUGGACGUAUACGGUGUGACGCCUGCCCGGUGCCGGAAGGUUAAUUGAUGGGGUUAUCCGUAAGGAGAAGCUCUUGAUCGAAGCCCCGGUAAACGGCGGCCGUAACUAUAACGGUCCUAAGGUAGCGAAAUUCCUUGUCGGGUAAGUUCCGACCUGCACGAAUGGCGUAAUGAUGGCCAGGCUGUCUCCACCCGAGACUCAGUGAAAUUGAACUCGCUGUGAAGAUGCAGUGUACCCGCGGCAAGACGGAAAGACCCCGUGAACCUUUACUAUAGCUUGACACUGAACAUUGAGCCUUGAUGUGUAGGAUAGGUGGGAGGCUUUGAAGCGUGGACGCCAGUCUGCGUGGAGCCAACCUUGAAAUACCACCCUUUAAUGUUUGAUGUUCUAACGUUGGCCCCUGACCGGGGUUGCGGACAGUGUCUGGUGGGUAGUUUGACUGGGGCGGUCUCCUCCCAAAGCGUAACGGAGGAGCACGAAGGUUAGCUAAUCCUGGUCGGACAUCAGGAGGUUAGUGCAAUGGCAUAAGCUAGCUUGACUGCGAGCGUGACGGCGCGAGCAGGUGCGAAAGCAGGUCAUAGUGAUCCGGUGGUUCUGAAUGGAAGGGCCAUCGCUCAACGGAUAAAAGGUACUCCGGGGAUAACAGGCUGAUACCGCCCAAGAGUUCAUAUCGACGGCGGUGUUUGGCACCUCGAUGUCGGCUCAUCACAUCCUGGGGCUGAAGUAGGUCCCAAGGGUAUGGCUGUUCGCCAUUUAAAGUGGUACGCGAGCUGGGUUUAGAACGUCGUGAGACAGUUCGGUCCCUAUCUGCCGUGGGCGCUGGAGAAUUGAGGGGGGCUGCUCCUAGUACGAGAGGACCGGAGUGGACGCAUCACUGGUGUUCGGGUUGUCAUGCCAAUGGCACUGCCCGGUAGCUAAAUGCGGAAGAGAUAAGUGCUGAAAGCAUCUAAGCACGAAACUUGCCCCGAGAUGAGUUCUCCCUGAGACUUUAAGUCUCCUGAAGGAACGUUGAAGACGACGACGUUGAUAGGCCGGGUGUGUAAGCGCAGCGAUGCGUUGAGCUAACCGGUACUAAUGAACCGUGAGGCUUAACCUUACAACGCCGAAG